rnacentral:tRNA from 1 species
CGUCAGAUAGCUCAGUGGUCUAGAGCAGUCGCCCGGCAAGCGAAAGACCCGGAUUCGAUUCCCGGUCUAGCGA